rnacentral:rRNA from 1 species
CGAAGGGUGCAAGCGUUGCUCGGAAUUAUUGGGCGUAAAGGGUAGGUAGGUGGUAAUACAAGUCUGGGGUGAAAUCCCUGAGCUCAACUCAGGACGUGCCUUGGAAACUGUAUUACUAGAGUGCUGGAGAGGUCCGCAGAAUUCCCGGUGUAGCGGUGAAAUGCGUAGAGAUCGGGAGGAAUACCAGAGGCGAAGGCGGCGGACUGGACAGUCACUGACACUCAACUACGAAAGCGUGGGUAGCAAACAGGAUUAGAUACCCUGGUAGUCCACGCUGUAAACGAUCGGUACUAGAGUUUGAGGGAGUUGACCCCUUCAGACUCGGAGCUAACGCGAUAAGUACCGCGCCUGGGAAGUACGGUCGCAAGACUA